CCUACGGUAGGCAGCAGUGGGGGAUAUUGCACAAUGGGGGGAACCCUGAUGCAGCGACGCCGCGUGGGUGAAGGAGCGUUUCGGCGCGUAAAGCCCUAUCGGCAGGGAGGAAGAUGACGGUACCUGACCACGAAGCCCCGGCUAACUACGUGCCAGCAGCCGCGGUAAUACGUAGGGGGCAAGCGUUAUCCGGAUUUACUGGGUGUAAAGGGUGCGCAGACGGCAGUGCAAGCCAGGAGUGAAAGCCCGGGGCCCAACCCCGGGACUGCUUUUGGAACUGAAUGGCGGGAGUACGGGAGGGGCAGGCGGAAUUCGUAGUGUAGCGGUAAAAUGCGUAGAUAGUAGGAGGAACACCGGUGGCGAAGGCGGCCUGCUGGACUGUGACUGACGUUGAGGCCCGAAGGCGUGGGGAGCAAACAGGAUUAGAUACCCGGGUAGUC
rnacentral:rRNA from 1 species